rnacentral:rRNA from 1 species
GAUCAUGGCUCAGGAUGAACGCUGGCGGCGUGCCUAAUACAUGCAAGUCGAGCGAACAGACAAGGAGCUUGCUCCUUUGACGUUAGCGGCGGACGGGUGAGUAACACGUGGGUAACCUACCUAUAAGACUGGGAUAACUUCGGGAAACCGGAGCUAAUACCGGAUAAUAUUUCGAACCGCAUGGUUCGAUAGUGAAAGAUGGUUUUGCUAUCACUUAUAGAUGGACCCGCGCCGUAUUAGCUAGUUGGUAAGGUAACGGCUUACCAAGGCGACGAUACGUAGCCGACCUGAGAGGGUGAUCGGCCACACUGGAACUGAGACACGGUCCAGACUCCUACGGGAGGCAGCAGUAGGGAAUCUUCCGCAAUGGGCGAAAGCCUGACGGAGCAACGCCGCGUGAGUGAUGAAGGUCUUCGGAUCGUAAAACUCUGUUAUUAGGGAAGAACAUACGUGUAAGUAACUAUGCACGUCUUGACGGUACCUAAUCAGAAAGCCACGGCUAACUACGUGCCAGCAGCCGCGGUAAUACGUAGGUGGCAAGCGUUAUCCGGAAUUAUUGGGCGUAAAGCGCGCGUAGGCGGUUUUUUAAGUCUGAUGUGAAAGCCCACGGCUCAACCGUGGAGGGUCAUUGGAAACUGGAAAACUUGAGUGCAGAAGAGGAAAGUGGAAUUCCAUGUGUAGCGGUGAAAUGCGCAGAGAUAUGGAGGAACACCAGUGGCGAAGGCGACUUUCUGGUCUGUAACUGACGCUGAUGUGCGAAAGCGUGGGGAUCAAACAGGAUUAGAUACCCUGGUAGUCCACGCCGUAAACGAUGAGUGCUAAGUGUUAGGGGGUUUCCGCCCCUUAGUGCUGCAGCUAACGCAUUAAGCACUCCGCCUGGGGAGUACGACCGCAAGGUUGAAACUCAAAGGAAUUGACGGGGACCCGCACAAGCGGUGGAGCAUGUGGUUUAAUUCGAAGCAACGCGAAGAACCUUACCAAAUCUUGACAUCCUUUGACAACUCUAGAGAUAGAGCCUUCCCCUUCGGGGGACAAAGUGACAGGUGGUGCAUGGUUGUCGUCAGCUCGUGUCGUGAGAUGUUGGGUUAAGUCCCGCAACGAGCGCAACCCUUAAGCUUAGUUGCCAUCAUUAAGUUGGGCACUCUAAGUUGACUGCCGGUGACAAACCGGAGGAAGGUGGGGAUGACGUCAAAUCAUCAUGCCCCUUAUGAUUUGGGCUACACACGUGCUACAAUGGACAAUACAAAGGGCAGCGAAACCGCGAGGUCAAGCAAAUCCCAUAAAGUUGUUCUCAGUUCGGAUUGUAGUCUGCAACUCGACUACAUGAAGCUGGAAUCGCUAGUAAUCGUAGAUCAGCAUGCUACGGUGAUACGUUCCCGGGUCUUGUACACACCGCCCGUCACACCACGAGAGUUUGUAACACCCGAAGCCGGUGGAGUAACCAUUUGGAGCUAGCCGUCGAAGGUGGGACAAAUGAUUGGGGUGAAGUCGUAACAAGGUAACCGUAG